GCUGCUACGGGGGUGUAUGCAAGAGCAAUGGACUAGAGUCUAAAUACCUGAUUCUACACUGACUUACCAGGAUGAGUACUGGGCAUCACCUCUGCAGGCUCUAUUUGCCCUGCCAUAGGAUGGAGAUGACCAUUGUGUCCUGCUGUCCGCACUGUGGUGAAACUAAAAGAGGAGAAACCCAGGAACCAUCCCUGCCACACGGCUGUGAAGGUAGAGCAGGACACCAUUGUCCCUGGCCUUCUCCUGUCAGAACUUACAGGCUGAGGUUUGCAAAUUCCUGGAGAGAACAUAGCAACUUGGGCAAUGACGUGGGAGAGAACGUUCCCAGCACUGACGUGAGUCUCCCCACACCAGAGAACCAGAGAGCAGGCGAUUGAAGCUCAUGCUGCUCUGAACAGUUAUAGCAAAGCUGUUUCCUGAUGGUCACAAGAUGGCUUCAGUGGCUCCAGAUGACACAUCCUCCCACAGCAACAUCCCAGGUAGAUGGAUGAGGCUGGCUUGGAAAGGUGAAAGAAGCACUCCUCACCCACCUGUCUUGUUCCCUUCCCAGCAGUGUCCAGGCCACCUUCCUAUGGCAUCUCCUUGGCCAGAACCCUAGCUGCAAGGGAGGCUGGGACAGGGAGUCUGGCUUUUCAGCCUAUGUGAGUGGGAGGCAGGUAAAGAUGAGUUGGGAAUGGCUGGUGUCUGGAUAACCCAUGGUGCCUUCCACGUUGCUCCACUAUGUGCUUCUGCUUUGGACCCUGCAUUCAAUUCUCCACCAGCUUCUCUCCAGAGCACUCUUGGUGAGGACAGCAACUGGUACCAGGGGAUACUACAGUAGAGCUGUUGGGAGUGCAGUGGCUGGAGCCUGACACCUGAGUUCAGAUCCUGGCUCCACUCCUCUGCUCUGGCUGAAUUAACAUCUCUGUACUUUGUUAUUAAAAAGGGGAUAAUAGUUCUUACCUGCCUCAGAAGGUUGUUUGAGAAUUCAAUGAGUUCAUAUAUGUGGAGCACUUAGAACACUGGUUGUCAAACUUGGCUGUGCCCUGGAAUCACAAGAGUAGUUUUAAAAAUUAAUGGUGCCGGCCCCACCUGCAAAGAAUCAGAUCUAACUAGUCAGAGGAGUGGCUUGGGCUUUGGAAUUUUUAAAGGCUCCCUAGUCAAUUCUAAUAUGCAGCUAAGAACACUCCUGGCACAGAGUAAGAUUCUAGUAACCUUAGCUCUGAUUGGUUUGUUCAUCAUUGUGAGGCCCAGCAUAUAGUAGGCCCUCAGGAGUUGUUUGUUGAAUGAAUGAAUGAAAGUUUUGAAGCAA